rnacentral:rRNA from 1 species
AGAACGAACGCUGGCGGCAUGCCUAACACAUGCAAGUCGAACGAGACCUUCGGGUCUAGUGGCGCACGGGUGGCGUAACGCGUGGGAAUCUGCCCUUGGGUUCGGAAUAACAGUUGGAAACGACUGCGUAAUACCGGAUGAUGACGUAAGUCCAAAGAUUUAUCGCCCAGGGAUGAGCCCGCGUAGGAUUAGCUAGUUGGUGAGGUAAAGGCUCACCAAGGCGACGAUCCUUAGCUGGUCUGAGAGGAUGAUCAGCCACACUGGGACUGAGACACGGCCCAGACCUCCGUACGGGAGGCAGCAGUGGGGAAUAGUUGGACAAGUGGGACGAAAGGCCUGAUCCAGCCGAUGACCGCGUGUCGUGAAGGAACGGUCGUUCGGAUUGUAAAGCUACGUUUAAGUUGGGAGGAAGG